UGUGAGAUAAAAUUAUGGACCAGAGAGCUACAGUGUGUUUUCUUACAUGACAUAGUUAGAGAUAUGUCAAAAAUAGUACUGCAGAUAUUUGGAAAGUAAUUGGUUUCUCUGGAGUGAUAUCACUGUGCCCAAGGAAAGAUUUCUUUCUAACACGAGAAAUAUAUGAAUGUCCUCAAGGAAACCACUGGCUUGAUAUCUUUGUGACUCAUGUUGCCUUUCAAACGAGUUCCCUACCACCUUAGUAAUGAGUUCCUUUGCAGGAAGGAGAGCAUAAGAGACGUGGAGGGGCAGAGUAUGAAGCAGUGACGAAGGCUUCUCUGACAAGGAAUUGUCAUUCCAAUAAACUCAGCUUCUCUAAACUUGAUGAGAAAAUCUCAAGAUAAAAUAACGAGAAAGGAAAUAUAUCCUAGCAGUUUGGGAAUUGGUCUGAAGUAAAAAGCCCCAGAUCUAAAUUUGCUACAUCCAUGUUCUUCCUUACUCUUCUAAAACCAGAGAAAAGCCUUACAACUGACAUUAUCAGAGAUGGAUGCUCUUACACUAACAUUAGAUUUGAGUGUAAAAUGUUUUCAUUCCACACAGAUUAAGACUUCAAAUAUGUAGUCAGUAAAACAUAGAUUUGUCAAAGUAUAAUACUGUUUAUGUCUUUAGUGAAAAGAAUGUGUGCAGUAUUUUGUCUAUAAUAUUUUACUGUUAUGAAAAUUACCUUUUAAUAUUAAAUCAGUAUACUUGAAUACUUUGCUGUUUUUAAUCUUACAAAUAGUGUAAUUCAUGUUGCAACAGGCCCUUUUAAUUGACUGUACAUAAAAGGUCAUUAUAAAUUUAAAGUAUUGAUGAAGUGAAUUAUAAUUCUUUUCUGAUCAGAAAAUACACAAUUAAAGCAUUAUUUAUAACAAAUAAGAAGUCACUGAGUGCUGUAGGGGUUUCACAGUGGGUCUAGUUUUAGACUGUUUCUACUAUCUCUCAAAGUCUAUUGGCUCAAAUGUAUGGCUCUAUCUAUUCUCUUGUUCAAAUGAAGAGGCAGAUUUUUUUUCAGAAGUGAGUCAUUGUUCUGAACCUUCCUGAAAGCAUAAUUCAAUCUACUGGACAUUGCAAUUUUAAUUCUUGUGCUGUUGAAUGAAGCCUGUCGAGACCUCUCCUGAAAAAUGAACAGUCAGCUGGAUGAAGCAGCCCUAUCGCUGCCUGACCGAGUUGUUCUCUCAGGAGAGACCACUCACCUGUCAAGAAGGGCUUUGCAUUUCUAGAGCCUGUGAGAUGGUACACUUUGACUAAAUCUCUGGAUUUCUUCUGUGCUAAGUCUGUGGCCCAUGACUGCCAUUGUCAUUCUGGGUUGGGACUGUAGAAAUAGGAUAUCAAAACCUAGUCUGCUCAAUCAGUGGAUAUGAAACUAUUGCACGUGGUAGACAGAGUGACCCUCCACAAAUAUCUGUACGCUCCUCUUCAGAGCCUGUGGCUGUGGUGGAUGGCGAGGAGCAGGAGGGCCCUGUGGGGAGGGAGGGUAGCUGACCUCCACUCAGUUGGAGCACUCUCACUACCCUGAGGGAAGUCAGCAUGCUGCUGAUGUAUUUCAGUGUGGGUCUCCUGGUUUGGAACUCUCAUUUCUAGAGCUACAAGACAAUAAAAUUCUAUUAUCAAAGCC
rnacentral:lncRNA from 1 species